ACACAGGUGGUGCAUGGCUUUCGUCAGCUCGUGUCGUGAGAUGUCGGGUUAAGUCCCUUAACGAGCGAAACCCUUGCCACUAGUUGCCAGCGGGUCAUGCCGGGGACUCUAGUGGGACUGCCGUUGUCAAAACGGAGGAAGGUGGGGAUGACGUCAGGUCAUCAUGGCCCUUACGGCCAGGGCUACACACGUGCUACAAUGGCGCGCACAGAGGGCUGCAAACCCGCGAGGGGGAGCCAAUCUCACAAAACGCGUCGUAGUCCGGAUCGCAGUCUGCAACUCGACUGCGUGAAGUCGGAAUCGCUAGUAAUCGUGAAUCAGAAUGUCACGGUGAAUACGUUCCCGGGCCUUG
rnacentral:rRNA from 1 species